rnacentral:rRNA from 1 species
GAGCUCAGAUUGAACGCUGGCGGCAGGCCUAACACAUGCAAGUCGAGCGGUAACAGAAAGUAGCUUGCUACUUUGCUGACGAGCGGCGGACGGGUGAGUAAUGCUUGGGAACAUGCCUUGAGGUGGGGGACAACAGUUGGAAACGACUGCUAAUACCGCAUAAUGUCUACGGACCAAAGGGGGCUUCGGCUCUCGCCUUUAGAUUGGCCCAAGUGGGAUUAGCUAGUUGGUGAGGUAAUGGCUCACCAAGGCGACGAUCCCUAGCUGGUUUGAGAGGAUGAUCAGCCACACUGGGACUGAGACACGGCCCAGACUCCUACGGGAGGCAGCAGUGGGGAAUAUUGCACAAUGGGCGCAAGCCUGAUGCAGCCAUGCCGCGUGUGUGAAGAAGGCCUUCGGGUUGUAAAGCACUUUCAGUCAGGAGGAAAGCGUGGUGGUUAAUACCCAUCAUGUGUGACGUUACUGACAGAAGAAGCACC